UGGGGAAUUUUGGACAAUGGGCGAAAGCCUGAUCCAGCAAUGCCGCGUGUGUGAAGAAGGCCUUCGGGUUGUAAAGCACUUUUGUCCGGAAAGAAAUGGCUCUGGUUAAUACCUGGGGUCGAUGACGGUACCGGAAGAAUAAGGACCGGCUAACUACGUGCCAGCAGCCGCGGUAAUACGUAGGGUCCAAGCGUUAAUCGGAAUUACUGGGCGUAAAGCGUGCGCAGGCGGUUGUGCAAGACCGAUGUGAAAUCCCCGAGCUUAACUUGGGAAUUGCAUUGGUGACUGCACGGCUAGAGUGUGUCAGAGGGGGGUAGAAUUCCACGUGUAGCAGUGAAAUGCGUAGAGAUGUGGAGGAAUACCGAUGGCGAAGGCAGCCCCCUGGGAUAACACUGACGCUCAUGCACGAAAGCGUGGGGAGCAAACAGGAUUAGAUACCCUGGUAGUCCACGCCCUAAACGAUGUCAACUAGUUGUUGGGAUUCAUUUCCUUAGUAACGUAGCUAACGCGUGAAGUUGACCGCCUGGGGAGUACGGUCGCAAGAUUAAAAGCUCAAAAGG
rnacentral:rRNA from 1 species